CCGUGCUAGACGGGGAAUUAGCGGUGCCCUGUAACCUGCAACCCGCUAUAGCAGGGUUGAAUUCCUGUCCUGAGGGUAUAUUUUGUGAGGUCUGGCUUGAAUAAGUGGCGUCGAAGUCUGGGUCCUACGCAAUGAGACAUCUUGAACCGUGUCAGGUCCGGAAGGAAGCAGCACUAAGAGAUCCAUCUCAUGUGCCGUGGGGUAGCCUGGAUGGAGCAAACUGUUCAAGUAACGCUCGGAGGAUAUAUUCGAAGGCAGGUGCACGG
rnacentral:SRP_RNA from 1 species